GAAUAUGGGGGGACCAUCCUCCAAGGCUAAAUACUCCUGACUGACCGAUAGUGAACCAGUACCGUGAGGGAAAGGCGAAAAGAACCCCGGCGAGGGGAGUGAAAAAGAACCUGAAACCGUGUACGUACAAGCAGUGGGAGCCUCUUAAUGGGGUGACUGCGUACCUUUUGUAUAAUGGGUCAGCGACUUAUAUUCUGUAGCAAGGUUAACCGAAUAGGGGAGCCGAAGGGAAACCGAGUCUUAACUGGGCGUUAAGUUGCAGGGUAUAGACCCGAAACCCGGUGAUCUAGCCAUGGGCAGGUUGAAGGUUGGGUAACACUAACUGGAGGACCGAACCGACUAAUGUUGAAAAAUUAGCGGAUGACUUGUGGCUGGGGGUGAAAGGCCAAUCAAACCGGGAGAUAGCUGGUUCUCCCCGAAAGCUAUUUAGGUAGCGCCUCGUGAAUUCAUCUCCGGGGGUAGAGCACUGUUUCGGCAAGGGGGUCAUCCCGACUUACCAACCCGAUGCAAACUGCGAAUACCGGAGAAUGUUAUCACGGGAGACACACGGCGGGUGCUAACGUCCGUCGUGAAGAGGGAAACAACCCAGACCGCCAGCUAAGGUCCCAAAGUCAUGGUUAAGUGGGAAACGAUGUGGGAAGGCCCAGACAGCCAGGAUGUUGGCUUAGAAGCAGCCAUCAUUUAAAGAAAGCGUAAUAGCUCACUGGUCGAGUCGGCCUGCGCGGAAGAUGUAACGGGGCUAAACCAUGCACCGAAGCUGCGGCAGCGACACUAUGUGUUGUUGGGUAGGGGAGCG
rnacentral:rRNA from 1 species